CCUACGGGAGGCAGCAGUGAGGAAUAUUGGUCAAUGGGCGGAAGCCUGAACCAGCCAAGUAGCGUGCAGGAUGACGGCCCUACGGGUUGUAAACUGCUUUUAUACGGGAAUAACGCGCCUUACGUGUGGGUCUUUGCAUGUACUGUAUGAAUAAGGACCGGCUAAUUCCGUGCCAGCAGCCGCGGUAAUACGGAAGGUCCGGGCGUUAUCCGGAUUUAUUGGGUUUAAAGGGAGCGUAGGCCGCAUGUCAAGCGUGUUGUGAAAUGUCCGGGCUCAACCCUGGCCUUGCAGCGCGAACUGGCGUGCUUGAGUCCGCUGAAAGCAGGCGGAAUUCGUCGUGUAGCGGUGAAAUGCUUAGAUAUGACGAAGAACCCCGAUUGCGAAGGCAGCUUGCUGAAGCGGCACUGACGCUGAUGCUCGAAAGCGCGGGUAUCGAACAGGAUUAGAUACCCGUGUAGUC
rnacentral:rRNA from 1 species